AAGAGUAUAAAUCACAGGUUUCAUUUUGUGGUAACACAAAAUUAAUCUGGCUGAAAUUCCUGAUGGAAGAUUUCCAGCAGGAAGACAAACAACCAUACCCAGGUCACCUGAACAAGGGGACAGCUCUGAUGGUGAUGGUGAGUGUAUAACCCCAGAAUUCCAGUGGAUGUCAGCAAGAUGUGCUUGACUAGGUUUAUCCUUGAGGAAUCAGAUAUUGCCAGAUUUUACAGCUGAGAAGCUGGUACACAUGUAGAUGUAGCCUUCAGAGAGCAGAGCAUUCUCAAGAGAAGCGAUUUUCUGGCUUAAACUAAAGACAAGCUCAAGAGACAUUCACCAAUUGAAGCCAUGGAAGUUCUGCCAGACUGAAGCCAGAGAGGUCCUCUUUCAACAACAGGAAAAGAAGUUGUGCUACUUUAGUGCUGAUAUGAAUUUUAACACUAGAACUGUUGAGUUUCACUAAAAAGAAAGAAAUAAAUGGAGUUUACAGUGAGUUUACAUUA